ensembl:lncRNA
CAUUAUUGUGCUGAAACUUUUUACAUGAAUGUAGCAUAAAUUUGAUUUCUGAAAAUCCAGACUAAAAAUAACUGUUGAGAGAGUUAUUUUCAGAUCAAUUUGAAAUGCACUUACAUAUUACAGCUAAACUGACAUAUUAUAUGCCAAAAAAUGAUCUUCAUAACGUCUUGUCCAGCCUCAUUCAUUCAUUUUCUGGCAUCUAACCCUGAGACAAGGGAUCUAAAAAGACAGAUAGUGUAUUUUCUGGGAUCUUUGUCCAAAGCGUUAACAAUCAGAAAGGACAGAGAGCAGGAUGUAAGAGUCAAACAGGGAAAGGAGGGAAACUAAAAGUGGAACAACAGCUGUUAGAUACUAAGCAGAUUUUAAAGCAUAGUGAAUACUUCGACCAGCCUGAGACUGCAGAGAUCAGUGACAGAAGGACAAUGAGCAGUCAGAACUGGAAUCAUGAAGAAUUUCUGAGGUCCAAACUAAGCCCGUACCAUAUGAACCUGUGGGCACAGGAAAUGAACUACUAACCCUACAGGAACUGAAUGUUCUACUCUUAGGCAUUUUUUAGAAAUGACUCCAGUGUCCUCUGUCCUGAAGAGCACUGAUUUCAUCACUCCAAGGCCAAAUAAGGCACAUUUACUUUUUAAAUGCUUAUCCUUCUGUUCCCUGUAGGAAUAUUUCAAUCAAAGGUUUUUCUGGCUCUGAUAUGAAACAAUUUAUUCCUUGACGGCAAAGAGUAUAUUCAAGAGUCAUUUGUAUUUAGAAGACUUAAUACAAAAAUGACACAACAAAGUUUUGUGUUCAUACCAGUUCUGAUAGAGGAAAACGAUUAAAUAAAUUCCUAGUACAAGCGAUUUUCAUUCAGUUGAGGCUCCGGAGAAGUAGGAGCUGCUUGCCAUGUAUGAACUAAUCUAUAACUAGAAGCCUGAGGAGAAUCAACUCAAUGCCUCCAGUGACUGCUCUUUCUGCGUCAGGUGGCAACACUGUCACUAAAUUAGAAGGAAGAAGCUCCAAGAAAUCCAGCUGAGUAUGUGUGGAGAAUAUCUGUGCACUUUUGGCACCACCACCACCAAUAAUUUUUCUUUUCUUUUCCCAUUGUCUAGAUUCUUUCAGCUCAUUACAGCCACAUAAGAUGUAGAGCCAGUCAUAUAUGAAACUCAUGGUCUCAUGGUGUUAAUCUGUCCCACAGACAGAUGUCCAAAAAAGAAAGAAGAGGGCACAAAAAUGAAUAAAUAAAUAAAUAGAUAGAUAAAUAGAUAGAUUCUGGAGGAUGGUAUGAACAAGUUGUAGAUUUUAACUUGUAGGUAUUUAUAUUUCUUAAUGACUCAAACUUCAAUUUCUUUCAACUUAAAAGUUUUAAAAUCUAAUAACAUAUAUAUACACAUACAUAUAUUUGUCUGACAAUGCUGGAGAAUUUUAAAUUUGAAAGUAUUAUUACGAUAGUCUGAAAACAGCCAUACUUUAGAGGGUUUUUUUUGGACUGUUUCAGUUAAGAAAAGUAGUCAAUGAUGGGGUCAUGCAUUUAUUUGACACAGCCAUUUUCAUUCACUAAAAAUAAAGAAAGUGCUGUUUCUCUGAGAACAGGAAUAAACAAAUUACAGGAGACAAGUUCUGUGCUCAAAUCCUCAAGGGCUGUUCAGACAGGAGCUGACCUAAGCCUUCCCUUUGGGUUCCUUUCAGGACAACAUGUAUUUUGCUUUCCACUAGCUGUGUUCAUACUGUCUAGUUGACAUGAAAAGCUUCAUGAGAUUUUCUUCAAAAGUACAUAUUAGUAUAAUCAUAAGUGAGGUAUAAAGACUAAAUAAGCAGAAACCUUAUUCUAUACUUCUAUUCUUUCUGAAUGUUGUUCCUUGAAUACUGAACAGAACUGCUAUUUUUAGGCUUGUAAACACUCAGCUGCAUGUUAUCUUAUAGCUUCCUGAUCACUUACUGACAGCUUUUGAUUUACUUUACGGCUUUUUUUUUUUUUAUUUUAUUUUAUGGAGUUUUAUUUGUGCAAAAAUAACAAUAAUAAUAAAAAUAAAAAUAAAAAAUAAAAAAGAACAUAAGUAAAGACAUAAAACACAAAUGAGCAAGCAGCACUCUUCAGUUUGCACAUACUGUAACCUAAAAUGUAGUGACAACAAUAAGCAAUACAUUGUCAAAGUAGGGUUUUUUUUUUUUUUUUUAAUCCCAUUCCAGGGUGCACAAAUGGGACAUCCUAUUUAGUAAUGGUGCAUUAGCUCUCUUCAUAACAAUAAACACAAAGUGGGGCUCAGGACACAAAAUCUUUUAAUCACAUUGGAUAGCUCUAGAAGAUAAGGAAUAAAUGAACAAAACAAAAAAUACAACAAACACAUCCAUUCUGAUAACUUUUUUUUUUUUUUUUUUUUUUUUUUGAGCUAUUCUGUAAACAAUGAUCUGUGCCAGAUGUGCGACAGCAACAGUAUCUCCCUCCAUUCACUUAUGCGGGGAAAUAAGCUGUCAUUUGUCUCCUUUGUGGCUGAAUACUGAAGAUGCCUUACUCUUUAUUCAGCAAAUUACAUUCUUUAACAUCCCAGUGCGAAGUCCUACUGAAAAAAAAAAAAAAAAAAAAAAGGGCAUAAAGAAGAAAGUUAUUAUCACAAAAUGAAAUUGGAAACAAUGCCUACUCUUCAUGAAAUGUUCUGUCAUAAUGAAUUCUCUUUGUCAGAAAAAUCAGGAAUUCGCACAAUGGGCAGAUAUCAGUACAUGAGAACUCUCUAUUGGUGUAUUAAUCAUUAUUUAGACUGCUUCUAAUAUGAUAUAUGAAUGCAAUCAAUCGCAUACAUUUUGUCUCAAUAUAUUCUUCAGCCUCGUGAGUUGAAGGUAAAGCCUUUUAUGCAAACCAUUAAUGUAAAUGGUUUUCAUUACCAUUUUAUUUCAUCAAUUUGGAACACUUAUCCCUUGUACCAGUGUAAGCCUUGGGCCACAAAAGUGAUUUCAUAUAUAUAUAUUUUUAAUUACUUCUUCCAUUCACAGCAUUAGGCGAUACUUCAGAAAAAAAUACAUAUAUUUUAAGAAACACAAGCUUUUCCCAUCCAUUGCACUGAAAAAAAAUACAAGGACACCUUACUAAAUGUAUGUGCUACCAAAGUACUCAAUGGAAGUACAUUCAUGUUAAAAAAAUUGACUUAUUAUGUGCACAGGAUAGCUCAACACUAACUGCAGCAUUUAUUGUAAUUUCAGAGGCACAUAAGUUUUAAGUGAAAUUUGAAAUGAAAACCUUGUGAAAUUACUCAUUUUUCUAAUUCUUUCAGCACCAACUUUAUGAUGUCUAGUACAAAUACCAUAUUAGACCAUAGCAGUAAGUGUGCAAGCUAGCAAGGAAAAAUGUAUCCUACAUUAGUCCUACUGGGACAUGACUAGUCAACUAUUUCUCUACUUUCUUUUUUAUCUUCUGAAUUGAUAUUAAUAUACAACAAUAUUUAUUAAUUUAGAAUAUAUAUAUACAAUUCAUAUGUAUAUUUAUAUUUUAUAGAAAUGAUUACAAUUCACCCUAUAUUUUAUUUGUCAGAACAAAGAGGCUAGCUAGCUAAGAAAAACAAAUCAGAAAUAAAAAUAAAAGGAAAACUACAGUGAAACACUGAGACAAGAACAAACCUGCUACCACAAAUUAAAAUUAUAAAAAGUGAGUAAUGAAGGUUUCCCAUCUGAAACCUAAUCAAUUUGCCUUCAGACAAUCAAGGGGUGCCUGUAGCUUGGGGAAUUCAUAUUCAGAAUAAAAAUACAGGCAUUUGUAAAGUGUACAAGUUAAAGCUGUCUUUGCCUGAAUGAAAUAAUGGAGAUAGUAUUUUAAACAAAGUUACCAUAAAAAUUCGUAUCAUGAGCAAAAUUACCAACUUCAACUAUUUUCAUAGCUUGUGAAGGGAUAUUUUUUCUAUAGUAUUUAUUAUUCUGGCAUAAUAUCAAGAUACUGUGAAGGAUGGGAUUAAUCUGAGUUUAUCAGAAGAGGCCUCUUUAAUAGCCAAACAGGCACUGAUGUGUCCAGUAAUCUAUCUAGAACUAGGGCAGCAGGACAAUAACUACUUGUUCAACAGCCAUAUUUAUCUUCAAAGAUUGUAGCAAUUAACUUAAAUGUAAAUGUCCAAAUUCUUCACGCUUCAAGUUAACAGAAAGGAAUUUCUCUUGGAAGGAUUCAGUUUUCAUAAGUGACCAGGGACAGUUUUGAACACAUAAGUGUGCAUAUUUGUAAAUCCUUCAUUUAUUCCUACCCAUUGUUCUGCAGUCAAUUCUGCUUUCUCACAUAAAUUGCAUAUAUCAAAAUGUCUCAUAAAUGAUAUUCAGAUAGUAUCAUCUGUGAGAUUCUGGAAGAAUCAUUAAAAUUGGAGUCUCCAGGGUCUCAUUUAGACCUUAAUAUAAUGAAAAGUAAUCUUCAUUUCUAGAUCCUCAUGCUCUGAUAAUUCCAGAAAUAUGCUGUGUCCAAGUUGUUUGUUUCUUGAACAGUAGUAUUCCAGAAUGUUUCAUAAUAUCAUCUUGAAUAAUUAUGCAAAUAUUUUACCAUCUGUAUCAGUAAUACUUCAACUAACAUUAUCUUGAAACUCUUUCAUCAUUACUGUUUAGGGUUGUUGGCAUAUAGUCAUUCAAAAAUGAACUAAAAUGAACUUUUCUCUUACUCUGAAAUUUAAAAUCAUUUCUUUCCAGUUUUCCAUUCUGCAUUUCCAAAGUAAAUUAACUAAUAAAUGCCAGACUUGGUUACAUCUUGUUCUUGUUGGAAUAAAAAUAAAUAAAUAAAAUAAACUCAAUGUACUCAAAUAAUGCAGAACUAAUUGUGUUAUAUAUGACAUUAUUUUAUAUAAUUAUAUUCUCUUCUUAGAUUACACCGUUCUCCAAACACUAGCUUAGCACUGCUUUUAUUUCUUUGAGAGAUAUACUUUUCAUUUUUGUCUGUUGUAAAGUAACUUUACUAAAAUAAGUUUGAUACUGUUGCACCCAGUAUUUAUAAAUAAGUAGUCACCAAAACCUGUAGCUGUAGAUACACACAUUUCUUCUAAUGAAUCCUUAUUCUUGUAGACUAUUCAAUAAUCUUUGAACAACGGCAUGUUUGUGACUAAGCUAUACUAAUAAAACAUCAAAUAUCUUAUCAAGAUAACUGAGCUUGUUGAGGAAAACCACAAGCCAGUAGCAGAAGACCUAAAAAAUAGAAGCAAUAGAUUAUAAAAGAAGCCCUGAAAAUAAAAACAUGGCAUUUGCACCAGUCACUAAAGAGAUGACAUCUCAUUAAUUAGAUAAAACCAGUUCUAAAGGUAAUCAGUGAAGAAAGAGCAAGUGGACACAGGUAACAAAUAUGCAAGAAUAUUCAAGCUCAUUCCAGGUAGGGGAGAAAUCAUUGAUACAGUAACCACCAUUUUAUUUACUCUAGUGGAAAAGAUUGGUGAUUUUCCAGGAUAUUUUCCUUUUUUCUUGAAAACUAGAAAAAUCAGGUGUAGGAUGCAGAGGAGGAAAAGAAGAAUGUAAAUACCAUGGGAGAGAGGAGAUCAGUACAAAAAAAAAAAAAAAAAAAAAAAAAAAAGUGUUUCAGUUUUAACUAUUAUCGUCAUUGUCAAUUAACGAUAACAAGUGGAUGAUUUCAAAUAGUUUUAUCAGUAUUAUUCUGAUCAGACUAGUAAUAUUUAUUUGAAUAGACUCUC